rnacentral:rRNA from 1 species
GCAAGUCGAACGGGAUUUCGGUUAGCAAUAACUGGAUGAGAGUGGCGCACGGGUGCGUAACACGUAUGCAACCUACCUAUAACUGGGGAUAGCCUCCCGAAAGGGAGAUUAACACCGCAUAACAUUAUGAAGUGGCAUCACUUUAUAAUUAAAUCUACGGAGGUUAUAGAUGGGCAUGCGUCCGAUUAGCUAGUUGGUGAGGUAACGGCUCACCAAGGCUCCGAUCGGUAGGGGGUCUGAGAGGAUGAUCCCCCACACUGGUACUGAGACACGGGCCAGACUCCUACGGGAGGCAGCAGUAAGGAAUAUUGGACAAUGGGCGCAAGCCUGAUCCAGCCAUGCCGCGUGAAGGAUGAAGGCCCUAUGGGUCGUAAACUUCUUUUAUACGGGACAAAACCCCCCGAUGCGUCGGGGGUUGAUGGUACUGUAAGAAUAAGGGUCGGCUAACUUCGUGCCAGCAGCCGCGGUAAUACGAAGGACCCGAGCGUUAUCCGGAUUUAUUGGGUUUAAAGGGUGCGUAGGCGGAUUAGUAAGUCAGUGGUGAAAGCCCGUCGCUCAACGGCGGAACUGCCAUUGAUACUGCUAGUCUUGAGUAUGGUUGAGGUGGGCGGAAUGUGUCAUGUAGCGGUGAAAUGCUUAGAUAUGACCCAGAACACCAAUUGCGAAGGCAGCUCGCUAAGCCAUAACUGACGCUGAUGCA